rnacentral:tRNA from 1 species
GGGUCGUUAGCUCAAUUUGGCAGAGCAGGAGACUCUUAAUCUCAAGGUUAUAGGUUCAAGUCCUAUACGACCCA